rnacentral:rRNA from 1 species
UUGGAGGGCAAGUCUGGUGCCAGCAGCCGCGGUAAUUCCAGCUCCAAUAGCGUAUAUUAAAGUUGUUGCAGUUAAAAAGCUCGUAGUUGAAUUUCGGGAUCAGAUUGUCGGUCGUGCCUCGGUACGCACUGGCAUUAUUGGUUCCUACCUUCUGAAGAACCGCGAUGUCAUUAAUUUGGUGUCGUGGGGGAUCAGGACUGUUACUUUGAAAAAAUUAGAGUGUUUAAAGCAGGCUUACGCUUGAAUACAUUAGCAUGGAAUAAUGAAAUAGGACGUUUGAUUCUAUUUUGUUGGUUUCUAGGAUUGACGUAAUGAUUAAUAGGGAUAGUUGGGGGCAUUAGUAUUCAAUUGUCAGAGGUGAAAUUCUUGGAUUUAUUGAAGACUAACUACUGCGAAAGCAUUUGCCAAGGAUGUUUUCAUUAAUCAAGAACGAAAGUUAGGGGAUCGAAGACGAUCAGAUACCGUCGUAGUCUUAACCAUAAACUAUGCCGACUAGGGAUCGGAUGAUGUUAAUUUUUUAAUGACUCAUUCGGCGCCUUACGGGAAACCAAAGUGUUUGGGUUC